UGGGGAAUCUUCCGCAAUGGACGAAAGUCUGACGGAGCAACGCCGCGUGAGUGAUGACGGCCUUCGGGUUGUAAAGCUCUGUUAAUCGGGACGAAUGGUUCUUGUGCGAAUAGUGCAAGGAUUUGACGGUACCGGAAUAGAAAGCCACGGCUAACUACGUGCCAGCAGCCGCGGUAAUACGUAGGUGGCAAGCGUUGUCCGGAAUUAUUGGGCGUAAAGCGCGCGCAGGCGGAUUGGUCAGUCUGUCUUAAAAGUUCGGGGCUUAACCCCGUGAUGGGAUGGAAACUGCCAAUCUAGAGUAUCGGAGAGGAAAGUGGAAGUCCUAGUGUAGCGGUGAAAUGCGUAGAUAUUAGGAAGAACACCAGUGGCGAAGGCGACUUUCUGGACGAAAACUGACGCUGAGGCGCGAAAGCCAGGGGAGCGAACGGG
rnacentral:rRNA from 1 species